GACGAACGCUGGCGGCGUGCCUAAUACAUGCAAGUCGAGCGCAGGAAAUCGACGGAACCCUUCGGGGGGAAGUCGAUGGAAUGAGCGGCGGACGGGUGAGUAACACGUAAAGAACCUGCCCUCAGGUCUGGGAUAACCACGAGAAAUCGGGGCUAAUACCGGAUGGGUCAUCGGACCGCAUGGUCCGAGGAUGAAAGGCGCUUCGGCGUCGCCUGGGGAUGGCUUUGCGGUGCAUUAGCUAGUUGGUGGGGUAAUGGCCCACCAAGGCGACGCUGCAUGGCCGAGCUGAGAGGGUGAUCGGCAACGCUGGGACUGAGACACGGCCCAGACUCCGACGGGAGGCAGCAGUAGGGAAUCUUCCACAAUGGACGAAAGUCUGAUGGAGCAACGCCGCGUGAACGAUGAAGGCCUUCGGGUCGUAAAGUUCUGUUGUAAGGGAAGAACAAGUGCCGCAGGCAAUGGCGGCACCUUGACGGUACCUUGCGAGAAAGCCACGGCUAACUACGUGCCAGCAGCCGCCGUAAGAC
rnacentral:rRNA from 1 species